AAUGAUUUUUUUUCUAAAAUAAGCUAUAACAAACGGCCUUGAUAAGAACACUUCCUUAAUUUAGUGUUAUUAUUCUAAUUUCAAAAAAACACUUAAAAAACCGAGGAAGUAACUUUUACUGCUUCUUCACACAUUCAAAGGCUUCAAAGGCCAUUGUGCACUGGUGAUACCACAUUCACACUGUCCAAAAUGGUGGUCGGGAAAGGGAAAAGGCAUGCAUAAUGGAACUUUAGGAGGGAUACACUUAUGAUCUCCACAAUCUUCAUUCCCUGAGCAGAGAAUCCAAUCUGUAAUAGUAUCAAAUUAGGAGUGUCAAAAUAAGAUGUUUUCUCUUCCCACCCCUAUGAAUCUUUUAUUUCCCUUGAAUUUUCAAUUUUGUCCUUGAAAAAACUUCGGUUCGUAGAAACUGAAGUUUUUUUUGCCUUGAAAACAAAUUUCGGUUUCUAAAAAUCGAAAUUUACUCUGAAUUUGCACUAGAAAAAAUUUGGUUUCUGCUAACCGAAUUUUUCUGCAAGGGCAAAAUUAGAAUAUUAGAUAUAAAAGAUUCAUGGGAGGGGGAAGAGAAAACAUCUCAAAAUAAUACUUUAUUCCAUUAUCCAUUCAAUCCAUUAACAAAAAACGAAUCCAAUUCAUUUAAUAUACCAUAAAUGUUAAUGGAUUGGAUAUCUAUCCAUUUGGUAAUAUUAACCAUCUCUUCACAAAAAAUUAGAUUUUUUUUUUUAGGUAACACAAAUUUAGAUUUGUUUAACAUGAAUAUGAGGUGACUUAAAAGAAGGAUAAAAAAUCAAAUGGAAGAUAUUUGAGGAUCAAACUUGCUAAAAUUUCUAAUAGGAAUUAAUUUAAAAUGAAAUUUAAAAUAUUUAGAGGGACAAAAAAAUUAUUUAACCCUAUAAAUUAAUAUAAAGAUAUGACAUGAGAUUAACUUUUGCAUAGAGAUACCAGUUCCAAACUAACCUUUGAGAUACCCAUGUUCAUCAAAUUUAAAAGUGUUCAUAAAAAUUACUUACCACAGUUUGUUAUAGAAAUAAAUAUGGUAAAAAAGAUAACCAUAGCAUAAAUAAACAUAUAAACUUUAUUCAUAUUUUUAUUUAUGAAUCUAGAAUUAGGAAUUCUUUAAUCACUUUAUAGUGUGAAAAAAACAAUUUUUUGUUUGGAAAAAAAUAAAUUCC
rnacentral:lncRNA from 1 species